rnacentral:rRNA from 2 species
AGUCGAGCGCCCCGCAAGGGGAGCGGCAGACGGGUGAGUAACGCGUGGGAACGUACCAUUUGCUACGGAAUAACUCAUGGAAACUUGUGCUAAUACCGUAUGUGCCCUUCAGGGGAAAGAUUUAUCGGCAAAUGAUCGGCCCGCGUUGGAUUAACUAGUUGGUGGGGUAAAGGCCUACCAAGGCGACGAUCCAUAGCUGGUCUGAGAGGAUGAUCAGCCACACUGGGACUGAGACACGGCCCAGACUCCUACGGGAGGCAGCAGUGGGGAAUAUUGGACAAUGGGCGCAAGCCUGAUCCAGCCAUGCCGCGUGAGUGAUGAAGGCCCUAGGGUUGUAAAGCUCUUUCACCGGUGAAGAUAAUGACGGUAACCGGAGAAUAAGCCCCGGCUAACUUCGUGCCAACAGCCGCGGUAAUACAAAGGGGGCUAGCGUUGUUCGGAUUUACUGGGCGUAAAAGCGCACGUAGGCGGGGCUAAUAAGUCAGGGGGGGAAAUUCCCGGGGCUCAACCCCGGAAACUGCCUUUUGAUACUGUUAGUCUUGGAGUAAUGGUAAAAGGUUGAGUGGAAAUUCCCAAGUGGAAAAGGUGAAAAUUCGUAAGAAUAUUCUUGAGGGAUCCCCCGGUUGGCCAAAGGGGGGUUCCCUUGAACCUUUACUGACCCCCUAAGGUGGCAAAA